AUUUGAGCAUUUUAGCACACUGGCGUUGGACUCACACAGCUGCUAGCAGGGCUGCAUGCACUUAAUCCUCAUAACAUGACAUGUUUUCAAGGCAAGGAGCUGACUGCUUUUCAGUAACUCUAACUUUCACUUGUUUUAUCUCAGAGCUACUAGUGGUUUGACCUUUGUUAGGUUGGAGGAGGAGCAACACUUCAUGCUAUCUUCAGACAAUCAAUUGAAUGGGCCUGUAAUGCACAUGUUUCGCUUUCCAUGGCAUUCCUGGCAUGCAAAGUCAUGCUAGUGUUAAUUCUGCUACCAAAUUCCCUUCUUGGGGGAAGUUGGAUCCACAAAUCGAGAGGCUGAUUGAUUAACAUUUUGAGAAUGUGUGGGAGUGUGUGUCUGUGUGUGCCUAAUGAUCCAAACACAGGGCUUUAGUUAAAGCGUCUGUACAAGCAGCAGAUAAGGAGACCGAUGGUGCAGAGAGCAACAAGCCUUAACUUACAUCACUGGACAUCAGCCUCUCAGCCAAUUAUUUUUCACAGUUUGUCCAUUCCUGGAUUAAAAAAAACAAAAACAAAAACAAAAAAAAACAUUAAAAGCUGCAUAUUUAUUUGCAACUUUAGUUUGUUAAGGUUUCUUCUCCUUUUCCUCUGCACUCUUUACAAGAUAUGUAGAUUUGCUGUACAUCUCUGUGGAUGUUGCUACAACCAAAAAGUAAUAGCUACAGCUAAAAUGCAGGGUCUGAGUAAUUUUUAAAAUCAGUAAUUUUACUUUUACUUAAGUACAUAUUGUUGGAAGUAAUUUACUGUUACAUUUUAAAUACCUUCCGUGACAGAGUAAAAAUAAAAUAAAAUAAAAUAAAAUAGAUGAACUCGCACUGCGUCUGCGUGGCAGUAACUGUCCAUCUGAUUGGCUCUGAACAACUGCAACACCAGAAGGUCAGAAACAUCCAGAUGUUAUUGCCACUGAGGAGCUAGCUAAAAGAUGAUGAAGAUGAAGCAUGUACAGAGGAAACAUCCAUCAAAGAUUAAAGUCUACACUGACUUCAUGGCAGCACGGAAGUGAACCCUGUAACCAGAAAAACCCCCCAAGCAAGCAGAGUCCUGAAAACCAGCUCCUGUUCAAACUAAAUAGCAAGUUCAUUGAGUAAUUAAGGAGGAACUGUAAUCUAGAUCUAUCUGUGAUCUAUGUGUUUUUGUCAAUAUAAAUCUUUGUGUAUGUU